UGCCACACGGUACUGUUUCGGUUUCACGUUUAUUGUUUUGGAGUGUUCAGUUUAUGUCUUUAAAUAAACGUUAUGGACACUUACCACGCUGCGCAUUGGUCCUCCGAUCCUCCUCGGAAGAGGAGGAAUGCCGCUACAAGCAGGAAAUGUGCAAUGUGGCUGACUAGCUUAUAAUCAACCUGGGUCCAUAAUCCAACUACACAACCUAUUCUGAUCUCAAAGACUUUUUAAACAUCUCAGAGGUGGCAGUUCUAGAGCUGAUACUGGACCCCACGAACCUGUCAAAUGCAACUCUUGCAAAUGUAUUUCCUAUGGGUUCUUGGGUCUUCAGAUCUAUGGGUGAUUGGUCCAUUUUUCCAAUCAUUAGCGGAGGUUUCUGCAAAGAGAAGCCGGACGGCUAUUGAGCCAGGACUGAGACACCCUCUAAAACCUGACACUGACGACACUAGUCCCAAAAUUUCAGACACUAGAGAGUAGUGUUCCAGGUGUCUCUCCCGUCAUUCCUCCCAAGCAUUUCAUCUCAGUCAUCCCAAGGAAUAUCAGCUGUGACUCCACUGAUUUUCAUUGCAAUUUUUACAACCCCAGAGAUUUGAAUCUUGCAAUGGGGAAUGUAGGAUGUUGUGGACUAAUCUAAAUUUGACCCAGCUGAUUGCAAAGCCUACUCAUCCAAACUUAAAGGACCCUACAACAUUAACGUCGAUUGCCCUCAUAUUUACAAAUACUCUCGAGUAAUAUGCUAGGAGUGGAGUGUUUGCUUUGGAUAUUAGUGACCGGUGACCAUUGUCCCAAAUCAGAUUAUUAUCUGAAUGUACAGGGUGCUACAUUUUGGAAAGCUGUUACAUCAAUGAAGAGUUGUCUCCUCUUCUCUUCCCCCAAUAGAUUCAUUUAGAUUCUGGCCAAUACUGACAAUUGAUAUCAGUCAUGCAUUAAAUCACAAUUUUAUCUUUGCGGGCUACAUAUUUGAACGCAUUUCAAAGACAGCUCUUAAAAAAAGAGUAGUUUGGAUGUUGAUGUUGAAAAUCUAUUGAAUGAUACUAGAAAUGCUGGUCAGGAGUUUUAUUUUUGGAAAUUCACUGACAAAGUAGUCCUGGAUGUUUUGCUAACAUUACACCAAAACAAAUCCACAGGGGCUGAUCAUUUGGAUCCCGGCCUAAGUGUGUAGCUCAGUAGCUCACAUUUUUAAUUUAACAUUGUUUUCAAGAAGUAUUCCAAAAACAUGGAAAUCCGGAUAUGUGCCACCCUCUAAGGGUGGGCAUACAAAUGAUCUUGACAACUAUCGCCCCAUUUUAAUACUACCUUGUUCACAGUAGCUAAGAUUCUUGAAAUCUUGGUUAAGGUGCAACUUUGUUUCUUUUUACCUGAUAACUGUAUUUUCAAUAUAAACCAAUCAGGGUUUAGGCCUGGGCGUAGUACUACGACAGCAAUCACGCUAGUUGUUAAUGAUCUUGUCAAUGCCUUGGAUGCUAAAAAGAACUGUGCUGCCAUGUUCAUUGACCUGUCAAAGGGUUGAUCAUUCUGUUAUCAAGAAUAGGCCUGGGAUAUACAGCCUGCUUUUUGAUUUCAGAAUUAUCUUAGCAACAUAACUCAGGCCAUCUUGACAGAUGGGGUUGAAUCGGAAUUUCUUGAUAUUCAAAAAGGUGUUCUUCAGGGUUCUAUUUUGGGUCCAUUAUUGUUCACCUUGUAUAUUAAUGACAUAGGAAACACUGUUGUAACAUUCAUAUAUAUGCAGAUGACAGUUUAGUAUUCCUGUGCCAACCCAGUGCAGCAGGCUAUUUGUGAACUUCAUCAUGAAAUCACUUACAGAUCUUAAAUUAGUGUUAAAUACAAGUAAAACCAAGCUCAUGCUGUUAUCUAGGUCACAAAAUGUUGACUCUGAGGACCUGUUCAUGUGCGCUAAUAAUGGAGCCCAAAUUGAGCUUGUUUCUCAAUAUAAGUACCUGGGUGUCUGGAUUGAUGCAUAUAGAGAAUCUGACUAAUAAGCUAAGAUCUUUUUUUUAAUUUAUUAUAUCAAAAUAAAUUAUAUAAAUAAAUAAAUUAUGCCUCAGUAUUGAAAAUAGGAGAAAGAUUGUUCAAACAACGCUUCUCCCUGUAUUGGAUUUUGGUGACAUUGUUUACAUACAUGUGGCACAACAUCUGUUUUAAAAAUAAAAUUUGAUUUGAUUUGAAACCCUUGGGCACAGUACACCAUUCUGCAAUACGUUUUAUCACAGGGGGCAAUUUUAGGACAAAUCUUUGUCUGUGUAAAAAUUUCAGGAUGGACCUCUGUAAGAAGAGCUGCACUCUCUCAUUUAUUUACAAAGCAAUCUUACAGAAACUCCCUUCAUAUGUAACCUCCUUAAUUAAGUUAAGAAUCAUAAGUUACCAAACCCGUCCUCGGGAAUGGGCAACACUAGAGAUACCUUCAGUCUCCACAGAUUUGGGAAAAUCUGAGUUAUUUUCUUUUUUUUGCCCCUAAUUUGUGGAACAAUCUGCAGAGUUCACUGCAGCUAGUUGUGCUGGUGCCAGUUUACAUUAUUGAUUUGAGAACCUCUAUGUAGUUGAAUAUGAUUGGUUUUAUUAAAUAUGUUUAUUUUGUUUGCUGAAUUCUAUUGUUUUAUACAAAUACAUGUGUGUAUUUAUUAUUCUGUAAAAUCUUGUAAAUCUUGUAAAAUUGAUUUUUAAUCUCAAUGUGACUCCCUGCUAAAAUAAAAAUAGUGCAAUGUGAGUUUCAGCUCUGUUUAAAGGGACUAAUGAUUAUUGAAUAUGAUUUGGCAUAUACAGUUGAAGUCAAAAGUUGAACUACACCCAGGUUGGAGU